rnacentral:rRNA from 1 species
AAUCUGGCUCUUUUAGAGUCCGAGUUGUAAUUUGCAGAGGGCGCUUUGGCUUUGGCAGCGGUCCAAGUUCCUUGGAACAGGACGUCACAGAGGGUGAGAAUCCCGUACGUGGUCGCUGGCUAUUGCCGUGUAAAGCCCCUUCGACGAGUCGAGUUGUUUGGGAAUGCAGCUCUAAAUGGGAGGUACAUUUCUUCUAAAGCUAAAUAUUGGCCAGAGACCGAUAGCGCACAAGUAGAGUGAUCGAAAGAUGAAAAGCACUUUGGAAAGAGAGUCAAACAGCACGUGAAAUUGUUGAAAGGGAAGCGCUUGCAGCCAGACUUGCUUACAGUUGCUCAUCCGGGUUUCUACCCGGUGCACUCUUCUGUAGGCAGGCCAGCAUCAGUUUGGGCGGUAGGAUAAAGGUCUCUGUCACGUACCUCCUUUCGGGGAGGCCUUAUAGGGGAGACGACAUACUACCAGCCUGGACUGAGGUCCGCGCAUCUGCUAGGAUGCUGGCGUAAUGGCUGUAAGCGGCCCGUCUU